UAAUCACAGAUAAUAAAGUGGAUUACUGCGACACUUAGCUGCAUAUUUGUUCAUGACAGCGUUGUGCUGUAACAGCGUUAAAAUAAGUGACUUGUCGUUGGGUUUGUCUUGAACCAGCAGUAGGCACGGUGUGUGCCGAGUCAUGUACGCUACAAAUUGAAUGUGUCUGCAGUCAUACAUAGACUUACAUAGACGCCACAUUAAGGGCCCGUCCCAAUACCCCCCCUUAGCCCUACCUCUUGGCCCUACCCCUACAUUUGCACGUUCCCGCGAGGGGUCCCAAUUCCUUUGUGUGUGUAGGGGUAGGGGGCAUAACAAGGGGUAGUGGGUAUGAAACUAGCCGUUCGGAGCGAGGGAUUUCAGGUGCUGACUUGCCAGCGAGGGGCAGACGUCGCCAUGGCUACCACCGAGCAAGAGACGGGGAAAAAAGUUCAUACAUAGCUAACGUUACUGUUGUCAGGUUGCUUGUUAGCUAGCUAGCUAGCUCGCACUAUCUGGCGUCUGUCAUCUGUCCUGUUCUGCAAAAUUGUUGGAUUUUUCACAUUACGAUAACAUGCCAGCUAGUAUAACUAUGCUGCCUCGUAAUGUUAGGUGGUUAGCUAGCUAGCAGAAGUCCCCUGUCAUCUGUCGUUCAUCAAACGAAGCAUGAUGAAUACAGCAAAUGCGAUCGGCAGGAUGAACUCAACUGGAGACUCCAUUGCAGAUGCCAGUUGGACAUGUAGAUGGUUCACAGCUUCCUGUUUAAAAUAGGUACAUAUGUGUGAAUGUAACCGACACGGUUACGUAGUGAGUGGUGUCCCAAUUCCAAGGGAAAGAUUUCAACCCCUACCCCUCGUUGCUUCAUUUCGAGGGCCAAGGGGUAGUGGCUAAGGGCUAGGGGUAGGACCAAGGGCUAAGGGGUAGUGGCCAAGGGCUAAGGGGUAGGGCCAAGGGCUAAGGGGUAGUGGCCAAGGGCUAAGAGGCAAGGCCAAGGGCUAAGGGGUAGUGGCCAAGGGCUAAGAGGCAAGGCCAAGGGCUAAGGGGUAGUGGACAAGGGCAAAGGGUAGUGGCCAAGGGCUAAGGUGUAGGACCAAGGGCUAAGGGGCAGUGGCCAAGGGCUAGGGGUAGUGGACAAGGGCUAAGAGGUAGUGGACAAGGGCUAAGAGGUAGUGGCCAAGGGUUAAGAGGCAAGGCCAAGGGCUAAGGGGUAGGGCCAAGGGCUAAGACUUAGUGGCAAAGGGCUAAGGGUAGUGGCCAAGGGCUAAGAGGUAGGACCAAGGGCUAAGGGGUAGUAGCCAAGGGCUAAGAGGUAAGACCAAGGGCUAAGGGGUAGUGGCCAAGGGCUAAGAGGCAAGGCCAAGGGCUAAGGGGUAGGACCAAGGGCUAAGAGGUAGUGGCAAAGGGCUAGGGGUAGGGCCAAGGGCUAAGAUGUAGUGGCAAAGGGCUAGGGGUAGUGGCCAAGGGCUAAGAGGUAAGACCAAGGGCUAAGAGGUAAGACCAAGGGCUAAGGGGUAGGGCCAAGGGCUAAGACUUAGUGGCAAAGGGCUAAGGGUAGUGGCCAAGGGCUAAGAGGUAGGACCAAGGGCUAAGGGGUAGUAGCCAAGGGCUAAGAGGUAAGACCAAGGGCUAAGGGGUAGUGGCCAAGGGCUAAGAGGCAAGGCCAAGGGCUAAGGGGUAGGACCAAGGGCUAAGAGGUAGUGGCAAAGGGCUAGGGGUAGGGCCAAGGGCUAAGAGGUAAGACCAAGGGCUAAGGGGUAGUGGCCAAGGGCUAAGAGGCAAGGCCAAGGGCUAAGAGGUAAGACCAAGGGCUAAGAGGUAGUGGCAAAGGGCUAAGAGGCAAGGCCAAGGGCUAAGGGGUAGUGGACAAGGGCAAAGGGUAGUGGCCAAGGGCUAAGGUGUAGGACCAAGGGCUAAGAGGUAAGACCAAGGGCUAAGGGGUAGUGGCCAAGGGCUAAGAGGCAAGGCCAAGGGCUAAGGGGUAGGACCAAGGGCUAAGAGGUAGUGGCAAAGGGCUAGGGGUAGGGCCAAGGGCUAAGAGGUAAGACCAAGGGCUAAGGGGUAGUGGCCAAGGGCUAAGGGGUAGGGCCAAGGGCUAAGGGGUAGUGGCCAAGGGCUAAGAGGCAAGGCCAAGGGCUAAGGGGUAGUGGACAAGGGCAAAGGGUAGUGGCCAAGGGCUAAGGUGUAGGACCAAGGGCUAAGGGGCAGUGGCCAAGGGCUAGGGGUAGUGGACAAGGGCUAAGAGGUAGUGGACAAGGGCUAAGAGGUAGUGGCCAAGGGUUAAGAGGCAAGGCCAAGGGCUAAGGGGUAGGGCCAAGGGCUAAGACUUAGUGGCAAAGGGCUAAGGGUAGUGGCCAAGGGCUAAGAGGUAGGACCAAGGGCUAAGGGGUAGUGGCCAAGGCCUAAGAGGUAAGACCAAGGGCUAAGGGGUAGGACCAAGGACUAAGGGGUAGUGGCCAAGGGCUAAGAGGUAAGACCAAGGGCUAAGGGGUAGUGGCCAAGGGCUAAGAGGUAAGACCAAGGGGUAAGGGGUAGUGGCCAAGGGCUAAGGGGUAGGGCCAAGGGCUAAGAGGUAGUGGCAUAGGGCUAGGGGUAGUGGCCAAGGGCUAAGAGGUAAGACCAAGGGCUAAGGGGUAGUGGCCAAGGGCUAAGAGGCAAGGCCAAGGGCUAAGGGGUAGGACCAAGGGCUAAGAGGAGUGGCUAAGGGCUAGGGGUAGUGGCCAAGGGCUAAGAGGUAAGACCAAGGCCUAAGGGGUAGUGGCCAAGGGCUAAGGGGUAGUGGCCAAGGGCUAAGAGGUAAGACCAAGGCCUAAGGGGUAGGACCAAGGGCUAAAGGGUAGUGGCCAAGGGCUAAGAGGUAAGACCAAGGGCUAAGGGGUAGGGCCAAGGGCUAAGAGGUAAGACCAAGGCCUAAAGGGUAGUGGCCAAGGGCUAAGGGGUAGGACCAAGGGCUAAGGGGUAAGACCAAGGGCUAAGGGGUAGUAGCCAAGGGCUAAGAGGCAAGGCCAAGGGCUAAGGGGUAGGACCAAGGGCUAAGGGGUAAGACCAAGGGCUAAGGGGUAGGGCCAAGGGCUAAGAGGUAAGACCAAGGCCUAAGGGGUAGGACCAAGGGCUAAGGGGUAGUGGCCAAGGGCUAAGAGGUAAGACCAAGGGCUAAGGGGUAGUGGCCAAGGCCUAAGAGGUAAGACCAAGGGCUAAGGGGUAGGACCAAGGGCUAAGGGGUAGUGGCCAAGGGCUAAGAGGUAAGACCAAGGGCUAAGGGGUAGGGCCAAGGGCUAAGAGGCAAGGCCAAGGGCUAAGGGGUAGGACCAAGGGCUAAGAGGUAGUGGCAAAGGGCUAGGGGUAGGGCCAAGGGCUAAUAUGUAGUGUCAAAGGGCUAGGGGUAGUGGCCAAGGGCUAAGAGGUAAGACCAAGGGCUAAGAGGUAAGACCAAGGGCUAAGGGGUAGUAGCCAAGGGCUAAGAGGCAAGGCCAAGGGCUAAGGGGUAGUGGCCAAGGGCUAAGAGGUAAGACCAAGGGGUAAGGGGUAGUGGCCAAGGGCUAAGGGGUAGGGCCAAGGGCUAAGAGGUAGUGGCAAAGGGCUAGGGGUAGUGGCCAAGGGCUAAGAGGUAAGACCAAGGGCUAAGGGGUAGUGGCCAAGGGCUAAGAGGCAAGGCCAAGGGCUAAGGGGUAGGACCAAGGGCUAAGAGGUAGUGGCUAAGGGCUAGGGGUAGUGGCCAAGGGCUAAGAGGUAAGACCAAGGCCUAAGGGGUAGUGGCCAAGGGCUAAGGGGUAGUGGCCAAGGGCUAAGAGGUAAGACCAAGGCCUAAGGGGUAGGACCAAGGGCUAAGGGGUAGUGGCCAAGGGCUAAGAGGUAAGACCAAGGGCUAAGGGGUAGGGCCAAGGGCUAAGAGGUAACACCAAGGCCUAAGGGGUAGGGCCAAGGGCUAAGAGGUAGUGGCCAAGGGCUAAGGGGUAGGACCAAGGGCUAAGGGGUAAGACCAAGGGCUAAGGGGUAGGGCCAAGGGCUAAGAGGUAAGACCAAGGCCUAAGGGGUAGGACCAAGGGCUAAGGGGUAGUGGCCAAGGGCUAAGAGGUAAGACCAAGGGCUAAGGGGUAGUGGCCAAGGCCUAAGAGGUAAGACCAAGGGCUAAGGGGUAGGACCAAGGGCUAAGGGGUAGUGGCCAAGGGCUAAGAGGUAAGACCAAGGGCUAAGGGGUAGGGCCAAGGGCUAAGAGGUAGUGGAAAAGGGUAGUAUGGGUAGUAUGGGUACGUAUGUGUGAAUGUAACCGACACGGUUACGUAGUGAGUGGUGUCCCAAUUCCAAGGGAAAGAUUUCAACCCCUACCCCUCGUUGCUUCAUUUCGAGGGCCAAGGGGUAGUGGCUAAGGGCUAGGGGUAGGACCAAGGGCUAAGGGGUAGGGCCAAGGGUUAAGGGGUAGGACCAAGGGCUAAGGGGUAGGACCAAGGGCUAAGGGGUAGGACCAAGCGCUAGGGGUAGUGGAC